UACGUAGGGGGCGAGCGUUGUCCGGAUUUAUUGGGCGUAAAGAGCUCGUAGGCGGCUUGGCAAGUCGGGUGUGAAACCUCCAGGCUCAACCUGGAGACGCCACUCGAUACUGCUGUGACUGGAGUCCGGUAGGGGAGCGUGGAAUUCCUGGUGUAGCGGUGAAAUGCGCAGAUAUCAGGAGGAACACCAAUAGCGAAGGCAGCUCGCUGGGACGGUACUGACGCUAAGGCGCGAAAGCGUGGGGAGCGAACAGG
rnacentral:rRNA from 1 species